rnacentral:rRNA from 1 species
UGGGGAAUUGUUCGCAAUGGGCGCAAGCCUGACGACGCAACGCCGCGUGGAGGAUGAAGAUCUUCGGGUCGUAAACUCCUUUCGAUCGAGACGAACGGCUCCCGGGUAAACAAUCCGGGAGAGUGACGGUACCGAGAGAAGAAGCCCCGGCUAACUCCGUUCCAGCAGCCGCGGUAAUACGGGGGGGGCAAGCGUUGUUCGGAAUUACUGGGCGUAAAGGGCUCGUAGGCGGCCAACUAAGUCAAACGUGAAAUCCCUCGGCUUAACCGGGGAACUGCGCUUGAUACUGGAUGGCUUGAGAUUGGGAGGGGGAUGCGGAAUUCCAGGUGUAGCGGUGAAAUGCGUAGAUAUCUGGAGGAACACCGGUGGCGAAGGCGGCAUCCUGGACCAACACUGACGCUGAGUGAGCGAAAGCCAGGGGAGCAAAC